AAAUUGAAGAGUUUGAUCAUGGCUCAGAUUGAACGCUGGCGGCAGGCCUAACACAUGCAAGUCGAACGGUAACAGGAAGCAGCUUGCUGCUUUGCUGACGAGUGGCGGACGGGUGAGUAAUGUCUGGGAAACUGCCUGAUGGAGGGGGAUAACUACUGGAAACGGUGGCUAAUACCGCAUAACGUCGCAAGACCAAAGAGGGGGACCUUCGGGCCUCUUGCCAUCAGAUGUGCCCAGAUGGGAUUAGCUAGUUGGUGAGGUAACGGCUCACCAAGGCGACGAUCCCUAGCUGGUCUGAGAGGAUGACCAGCCACACUGGAACUGAGACACGGUCCAGACUCCUACGGGAGGCAGCAGUGGGGAAUAUUGCACAAUGGGCGCAAGCCUGAUGCAGCCAUGCCGCGUGUAUGAAGAAGGCCUUCGGGUUGUAAAGUACUUUCAGCGGGGAGGAAGGUGUUGUGGUUAAUAACCGCAGCAAUUGACGUUACCCGCAGAAGAAGCACCGGCUAACUCCGUGCCAGCAGCCGCGGUAAUACGGAGGGUGCAAGCGUUAAUCGGAAUUACUGGGCGUAAAGCGCACGCAGGCGGUCUGUCAAGUCGGAUGUGAAAUCCCCGGGCUCAACCUGGGAACUGCAUUCGAAACUGGCAGGCUUGAGUCUUGUAGAGGGGGGUAGAAUUCCAGGUGUAGCGGUGAAAUGCGUAGAGAUCUGGAGGAAUACCGGUGGCGAAGGCGGCCCCCUGGACAAAGACUGACGCUCAGGUGCGAAAGCGUGGGGAGCAAACAGGAUUAGAUACCCUGGUAGUCCACGCCGUAAACGAUGUCUACUUGGAGGUUGUGCCCUUGAGGCGUGGCUUCCGGAGCUAACGCGUUAAGUAGACCGCCUGGGGAGUACGGCCGCAAGGUUAAAACUCAAAUGAAUUGACGGGGGCCCGCACAAGCGGUGGAGCAUGUGGUUUAAUUCGAUGCAACGCGAAGAACCUUACCUGGUCUUGACAUCCACAGAACUUUCCAGAGAUGGACUGGUGCCUUCGGGAACUGUGAGACAGGUGCUGCAUGGCUGUCGUCAGCUCGUGUUGUGAAAUGUUGGGUUAAGUCCCGCAACGAGCGCAACCCUUAUCCUUUGUUGCCAGCGGUCCGGCCGGGAACUCAAAGGAGACUGCCAGUGAUAAACUGGAGGAAGGUGGGGAUGACGUCAAGUCAUCAUGGCCCUUACGACCAGGGCUACACACGUGCUACAAUGGCGCAUACAAAGAGAAGCGACCUCGCGAGAGCAAGCGGACCUCAUAAAGUGCGUCGUAGUCCGGAUUGGAGUCUGCAACUCGACUCCAUGAAGUCGGAAUCGCUAGUAAUCGUGGAUCAGAAUGCCACGGUGAAUACGUUCCCGGGCCUUGUACACACCGCCCGUCACACCAUGGGAGUGGGUUGCAAAAGAAGUAGGUAGCUUAACCUUCGGGAGGGCGCUUACCACUUUGUGAUUCAUGACUGGGGUGAAGUCGUAACAAGGUAACCGUAGGGGAACCUGCGGUUGGAUCACCUCCUUACCUUAAAGAAGC
rnacentral:rRNA from 1 species